rnacentral:rRNA from 1 species
UACGUAGGGUGCAAGCGUUAUCCGGAAUUAUUGGGCGUAAAGAGCUCGUAGGCGGUUUGUCGCGUCUGCCGUGAAAGUCCGGGGCUCAACUCCGGAUCUGCGGUGGGUACGGGCAGACUAGAGUGCAGUAGGGGGAGACUGGAAUUCCUGGUGUAGCGGUGAAAUGCGCAGAUAUCAGGAGGAACACCGAUGGCGAAGGCAGGUCUCUGGGCUGUAACUGACGCUGAGGAGCGAAAGCAUGGGGAGCGAACAGG